UACGAAGGGGGGCUAGCGUUGCUCGGAAUCACUGGGCGUAAAGCGCACGUAGGCGGCUUUCUAAGUCAGGGGUGAAAUCCUGGAGCUCAACUCCAGAACUGCCCUUGAUACUGGAGAGCUUGAGUUCGGGAGAGGUGAGUGGAACUGCGAGUGUAGAGGUGAAAUUCGUAGAUAUUCGCAAGAACACCAGUGGCGAAGGCGGCUCACUGGCCCGAUACUGACGCUGAGGUGCGAAAGCGUGGGGAGCAAACAGG
rnacentral:rRNA from 1 species